AACUGGAGAAGGAUGAAGCAUUAGACGCGAAGUAAUCAUUACAAACGAAAGGUAUGAUCGAAAAGUCAUGACUUUAUGGGGAGACUUUGCUGAAAUUGAAGGUCAAAUGUUACAAAGCCUUGAAAGUCACAAACCAGUUCUUGCCUUUUGUGAUGUAAAAUCAUCAAUUUAUCAAGGGGAUUUUGUCCUUUCCACAACUCCUGUUAGUAGUUUGCUUAUAAAUCCACAAUUUGAAAAAGCGAACAAUCUCCAAAAAUGGAAUGACAACAUGAAGGCAGAAAAGAUUGAC